rnacentral:rRNA from 1 species
ACGUGUUACAAUGGCAGGUACAGAGGGGUGCUACCGGGUGACCGGAUGCCGAUCUCGAAAACCUGUCCCAGUUCGGACUGGAGUCUGCAACCCGACUCCACGAAGUUGGAUUCGCUAGUAAUCGCGCAUCAGCCAUGGCGCGGUGAAUACGUUCCCGGGCCUUGUACACACCGCCCGUCAAGCCAUGGGAGCCGGGGGCGCCUGAAGUCCGGGACCGCGAGGACCGGCCUAGGGCGAAACUGGUGACUGGGGCUAAGUCGUAACAAGGUAUC